UACGAAGGGGGCUAGCGUUGCUCGGAAUGACUGGGCGUAAAGGGCGCGUAGGCGGACGGCUUUGUCGGGCGUGAAAUUCCUGGGCUCAACCUGGGGGCUGCGUUUGAUACGUGCUGUCUGGAGUUCGGAAGAGGGUCGUGGAAUUCCCAGUGUAGAGGUGAAAUUCGUAGAUAUUGGGAAGAACACCGGUGGCGAAGGCGGCGACCUGGUCCGAUACUGACGCUGAGGCGCGAAAGCGUGGGGAGCAAACAGG
rnacentral:rRNA from 1 species